GGGCAGGCAGGGGGCACUUCCCGAGGAACAGCCUGACCCCAGGCAGAUCUCCUACAGCCAGGCCCAGCAGCCCCCCGAGGCUCUGCUUGGGGUAUGGACCCAGCCUCCUGGCCAGCCUGCGGGAGCCUCAGAGUUAAAGGCGGCCAGGCUGGACGAACGGACUGUGAGCUGGCUAGAUCACUAGGCUCAGCAGGUAGCGAUCGACGGCUCGAUAUCUGGAGUGCCACGGGGUCAGUCUUCUUUAACACUCUGGAGGGGCUGGUUGCACCCUCAGCAAGUUCCCGGAUGGCACUACGCUGGGGGAGAGGCAGAUCCGCUGGGGGGCGGCGAUAGGGCCCAGAGUGACCUGCACAAAUCGGAGGACUGGGCUAAAAGAAAUUCGAGGAGGUUCCCCAAGGACAAGUGCAGGCUGGGGACCGCGGGGCGAGCAGCCGUUCGGCAGAAAAGGCGCUGGGGGUUCCAGCGGAGGAGAAGAUGGAGAGCAGUCGACAGGGCGCCCCUGUAGCCAAGAAAGCUUGUAGCUGGGCAGAGCACAGCCUGGCACCCCCUGGCUCCACAGCCCGCCGAGGCGGUAGCAGGCCCCAACACUGGGUGUCCGGGAAGGAGACGAGGGUGAGGACAGACAUGGAGCACAGAGGCGUGGGUCAGAACGCGGCAGAGCGGAGCAGGGCCACCCUGAGGAGGGCCAGGGCCCAAGCUCUCCUGCUCAGUCGUUCUUAGCGGCACCUUUUCAGACUAGCACCUAGAUCCCUUCACCCCCGCAAUCCAGGGCUGCACGCAGAGGCCUCCCAAGUGUUGCUUGGAGCUGGGGAGAUACGGAACGGUUGUCCUGGCUCAGGACAGUGGUUGAGAGUUUCUGAAGUGUCUUUCACACCCAGAAGGAGAAGAAGUUGAAAGUUCACGGGGUGUCCUAACCCCACAACACACAAAUCACCCGGCCGGAUUCGUGGAAGGGUUUUCUUUCCACGCUUUGCUUUGAUGUUGUUGGCCCUUUCGUGAACUGUUUAACUACAACCAGCUUCACUUCCCCAACCAAAAGUCAGUUCAAAGGGGGGCAAAAACCCGACGCUGAUUUCCAAGAAGGUCAAAACGGGACUUUUCGAUAAUGUUGAAGAGAAAAUUUCCAAACAAACGUUGCAAGGAGAAAUUCACGGAGGAGAACCGCUUCCUGCUAACGGGCUCGGUUGCGAGGAAUUGGCGUCUGUCCUGACAAAAACGAGCCAUGUGACGAUUUCCACCGUUCUCCGGAGCAUGCACGUUGGUUAUGACGCGUCAUGGCCGGCGGAAGAGAUUGUCCCACGUGAGUUGCAGUGUGUGGCUAGUUUCACGGGGAAACGCUCCUUGUGCUUUGGUGUGUCCUUCUGCCUGUCCUCGGGAAAACAUUCACCAGCCGUGCUCCUAAUGGCCAAGCAGGUCUCCGCGAUGCUUCGCCCAACGGUUCCAUCCAUGAGCAGUUUCCAUGGGCACCAGGAAAGGAGGCUGGCCUUUCGGGGCACCAGGAAAGGAGGCUGGCCUUUCGCGCCACCGCUGCCAGCAGCAAGAUUCAGGCUGGGAGGGUAAUAGCUCGGGUCUUGCAUCCCUGCAGGGCAGGAGUCGUUGUUCUCUGCAGAACCCUCAGGAGCGCUCCGCUUCGGUGACCUUGCAUACGCCUAGAGACGGUGAGUCCUCACCUGCCCAAGACGGGGCCGUCUACGCUGCAGAAAGGCCUGUGCAGAGGGCCUGGCUCAUCUGGCUUCCAGCUCGCAGGGCUCGUACCAUGGAGCUGAAAUAGCAGUGAGGCCGUUUAGCUUCCUGCUAUUCAUCAGGUGUUGCCUGCCGUCAUCGGGGACCUGCCCCUUAGGCUGGGGCAGCAGAGGGGCCGCCCUUCCCCAAACACACCAGCGUUGAGGCAGCGUGGUUCAAGCCAUAUUUCCACGGACACUCGUAGCCAGACGUACUUCUCCGGCCCUGUUCCCGCACUACCUGAGCGCCUCGUGGUGGGUAGGGAAGGGCCAUCGAGCCCCCAUUACAGAUGGGGAACUAAAGCCCAGAUUCUCAAGGGCCCAUAGGCUCCAAACUUGCCCUGAAGUCACUACUAGAGUGAGGUAUUAAGAGACUUGCCCAAGGUCACACGGAAGCCUGUGGCAAAGCAGAG